CCAUCAUUCAGUUGGGCACUCUAGCGAGACUGCCGGUAAUAAACCGGAGGAAGUGGGAUGACGUCAAUCAUCAUGCCCCUUAUGACCUGGGCUACACACGUGCUACAAUGGUUGGUACAACGAGUUGCGAGUCGGUGACGGCGAGCUAAUCUACUUAAAGCCAAUCUCAGUUCGGAUUGUAGGCUGCAACUCGCCUACAUGAAGUCGGAAUCGCUAGUAAUCGCGGAUCAGCACGCCGCGGUCGAAUACGUUCCCGGGCCUU
rnacentral:rRNA from 1 species